rnacentral:rRNA from 1 species
UACAGAGGGGGCAAGCGUUGUUCGGAAUUACUGGGCGUAAAGGGCUCGUAGGCGGCCAUGCGUGUCUUCCGUGAAAUCCCUCGGCUUAACUGAGGACGUGCGGAAGAAACUGCAAGGCUUGAGUCCGGGAGAGGGGGGUGGAAUUCCCAGUGUAGCGGUGAAAUGCGUAGAUAUUGGGAGGAACACCGGUGGCGAAGGCGGCCCCCUGGACCGGUACUGACGCUGAGGCGCGAAAGCGUGGGUAGCAAACGGG